UACGAAGGGGGCUAGCGUUGCUCGGAAUCACUGGGCGUAAAGCGCACGUAGGCGGACUCUUAAGUCGGGGGUGAAAUCCUGGAGCUCAACUCCAGAACUGCCUUCGAUACUGGAAAGCUCGAGUCCGGGAGAGGUGAGUGGAACUGCGAGUGUAGAGGUGAAAUUCGUAGAUAUUCGCAAGAACACCAGUGGCGAAAGGCGGCUCACUGGCCCGGUACUGACGCUGAGGUGCGAAAGCGUGGGGAGCAAACAGG
rnacentral:rRNA from 1 species